rnacentral:tRNA from 1 species
AUUACUUUGGCAGAGAAAGAGAUGUAUUAGAUUUAGGAUCUAAAAAGAUAGAGGUAAUUUCUAUAGGUAAUA